rnacentral:misc_RNA from 1 species
UUUCCGUAGGUGAACCUGCGGAAGGAUCAUUAUCAAAAGCCAAGUCGGGGGCUGUAAAGCUCUCGUCUACACCCAUGUCUUUUGCGUACUCUUGUUUCCUCGGUGGCGCAAGCUGCCGAUUGGACAAACCAAAACCUUUUUUGUAAUUGCAAUCAGCGUCUGAAAAUAAUCUAAUUAUUUACAACUUUCAACAACGGAUCUCUUGGUUCUG